rnacentral:lncRNA from 1 species
AUUUGAGAUGGGAUUUCUGUGGAGACAGUCAAAUUUUGGGCUUCCUCCUAUUUGUCUAGGACCGAGGAAUCUUGGGAAAAGUAUCACUUCUAUUUUCUUAGGCACAAUGAAUGCAGUUUCCAGGCCACAUCUGAGGAACAAGCCUCAGCAACGUGAGAAAAAUGCUCAAAAACUGGGAUGAGAACAUUGUUGAGGAGAAGGAAAACACAACGCAUAGAAAGGUGAAGCCACCCUGUCACUCCCACCAUGUAUAUCAGCCAGAAGAUGCCCGAGUUGGAAAAGGGAAAACAUCUGACACUGAAUCAAGCUUACUUCCUAAUGCCAAGCCACUUUCCAAUCACUAGAAAAAAAAUCACACAAGUAUGUUUUAAAUCCUCAACAAAGUUAAAUAUUUACGAAGUUCUGGAAGGCUAAUAAAGAACAAUUCAUUCAGACAUGCCCUGAAGAAUGAGUCUUUGUACCCUUGUGGAAAACUCUAUUGAGAAUGAUAACCUCCACAUCCUAGCAAUAAUUCACCUGACCUUCAAUGUUAUCAUGGCUUUUCACAUCCUCAG